UACGUAGGGGGCUAGCGUUGUCCGGAAUCAUUGGGCGUAAAGCGCGCGUAGGCGGCCCGGUAAGUCCGCUGUGAAAGUCAAAGGCUCAACCUUUGAAUGUCAGCGGAUACUGCCGGGCUAGAGUCCGGAAGAGGCGAGUGGAAUUCCUGGUGUAGCGGUGGGAUGCGCAGAUAUCAGGAGGAACACCGGUGGCGAAGGCGGUUCUCUGGGCAUGAUCUGACGCUGAGGAGCGAAAGUGUGGGGAGCGAACAGG
rnacentral:rRNA from 1 species